GCAGAGCGGGCAACGCUCGGCGAGCUGAGUUAUUCUAACCUGCCUUCAUUGGACCUUAAUAUUAGUUAUGGGCAGGAUUUUGAAGUAUGCAAUGAAGAUAGCAAAGGCUAUUUAAGCAAAGAAGACUCUACAGUUGGUCUGGUAAUGGGGUUUUUUUGCUAGAAACCCUCAAAGCUGCACUGGUGUUUCAGCAUACGCUGAAUCAAGAAUCAAUUGCUUAACAAAUGCUGCUCUGAACUGGGCAUGAAGAAACACGGGCAAGACUCCAAUUUCACAGCUGUCCUCUAUAUACUGGAACCUGGUAAUAAAGUCUUCGCUAAGCCUUCUUUUCUCAAAGCUGAACAAACCCAGCUAUCUCAACCUUUCCUCAUGUGGCCAGCAAUUCCAGUAGCAGAAGGUACAUAAUCAGUAGCAGGAGUUCUACAAGUACUUCAAUAUGGAGCCUGAAGCAGUUUCUUUUACAUGUACUGGGAAUGGCUGAGGUUCUUAAGUUUAAUAUGUGAAAUUUUUGUCCACAUAAACCCAUUAAUAUCUUGUAUUUAUGCUUUUUCUUUUUUUCUGUAAAAUAAAUAGUGGGAAUGUUGAAGUUCCCCAGAAGCAUUACAAUUGAAUUCUUUAGGUGGUUAAAAUUAUAGAAAUUUUAUGGACUCUGCUGAUCCUGAUAACAGCUUGAAAUUCUGUGCUCCAGUUUUGAAAAUUAAAAACAUAAUGUUAUUAAUGGUCAGAAGAAAGUGUUUCAAAACCAUUUUCCUAGUAUACAUUCCUUCAACACUAGCAAUAUUUUAUCAUAGGAAUCACAAAAUUAUUAGGAUUGGAAGGGACCUCUGGAGAUCUAAUCCAACCAAGGCACUGUCACCUAGAGCAGGCACUCAUCCAAGUGGGCUCUGAAUGUGUCCUGAGAGGAAGACUCCACGGCCUCCUGGGCAGCUGUUCCAGUGCUCUGCUGCCCUCAAUGGAAGCAAGUUUUCCCUUCUCUUGAGGUGGAACUUCUUGUGGUUUUGUUUAUGGCCAUUGCUCCUUGUCCUGUCACUGGGCACCACUGAAGACAGUCCGGCACCAUCCUCUUGGCACCUCCCUUUGAGAUAUUUACAUGCAUUAGUGAGAUUCCCUCUAUGUCUUCUCUUCUCCAGACUAAGCAGGCCCAGCUCCCUCCAUCUCUCCUCAUUAAAGAGAUGCUCCAGGUCCCUCAUCAUUUUUUUGGCCCCUGCUGGACCCUCUCCAGUAGCUCCUUGACUUUGCUGUACUGAGGAGCCCAGAACUGGACACAGCGCUGCAGAUGUGGCCUCACUAGGGCUGAGCAGAAGGGGAAGAUCAGCUCCCUUCAGCUGCUGGCCACAUUCUUCCCAGUGCACCCCUGGAUACCAUUGGCCCUCCUGGCCACAAGGGCACUGCUGACUCAUGGCCAACUUGUGUCAUACAAAUAAAGGAAAAAUAAUUCUCAGCUCUUGUUUCUUUGUAAUAAAAUUAAAUAUUCAAAAGUAAUUCCAUAAUCUCAAAUUAUCCAAGUCAGGGCAUCUCUGUCUCUUAGAUACUCAAGAUUUUGCAUGGGCAUACAGAAAUGCCAUAAAUAUAUGGCCAUACAGAGAGACUAUAUCUAAAAUUAGACUAAAUUAUGUUUAACUGAAUUAUUUACUGUAGGUAUAGUUGAACUGUGUUCUGUUCUACACUGCCCAUUUCUUGUGCUUCAAGCCUAGGCUAGUGAAGCCCAUUGUAACAGUAAGAAAAUAAUUCCUUUUUGUGAUGAUUUUUAUCACUUGAUUUCUGUGUUUUCCUGGCUUUUACCCACUAGUUUCUUUGCUGAGACUGCACAUGGAGCUAUUGUAAGUGGUAGGUUUUUGGCAGAGGCAUUAACUUGUAAGAAACUAGAUAAACACUGUAACUGGUAAUAAUUGGUUUAAUUGUUUAAGAAUUUUAAAAAAUAUAGAUAAUAUCUGGUAAAUUGAAGGUGGAGUCCUCUGUCCAAUUACAAAUCUCUUUGAACAGAGCCUGGUUCCUCCAAAUAUACAGUUGUUCAAAAUACUUACUAGUGUGAAGAGUAAGAAAAAUGGCAGAAAUUCCAUACUUUGUUGCAUUCUUUAACUUUCUUUGAUCAAAAAUGUGUUAUACCCAGCAGUGGCAGAAUUUUUUGCUUUUGGAGCAGAUUCCAUUUUAGUAUGAAGACAUAAAAAUUGCUACAUGUGAAGAAACAUCCAUGGCUAAUUCCAUCACAAUUAUUAAUUUCUGUUGUAUUUGUGGGACAGGAUUUCAUCCAAGGACAUGGAAUGGAAUCACUUCUGUUCUCAGCAGCCUCUCUUUAAAUAAGCUUGGGAAACUCUUUCCAAUUUGUUUUUGUUGUAAUUUUUAUGACAGUUUCUAGUGCUUUCAAGGUCAGCUGACAAGAGGGUCUAUCAUGCUGGAAAUCAUGAUUAGUGGAGGCAAAAUGAACAUGUUCUCAAUAGCAUCCCUUGGGAUCAUAGAUGGUUUUUUUUUACUUCCUUUUACCAGAAAUGAAAAUCAUGUUCCAAAAGGUACUUCCUUUUGGUGCAAGUUCCAUUUCGAUAUUUGAUUAUGCAAGUCUAGAUUAAUAAAAGAAUCCUACAUAUUUCUACUAUAUAGUUGCAAUUAUUUGGUCUAGUCAAUACUAUCUUCCUGUUCUUCUAUUUAAUUUUAUUUACUUACUCCCAUAGAUUUUGAGAUUUGACAGGUUUUCUCCCUUAAAGUUUAAUCCCAGCUGCUCUUGUAUCUUCUUAGUGAGUGGUCUGUCGAAAGCUCCAAACUGCUAAGAAUAUAUGCCUUCAAAAAAGAUUUGCCUGUCCUCCAAAGGCAAGAGGCUCCUCACCACACUCACCAAACCCCAUGUAUAAAAAUAUAUCCACAGAACAGGCCCAUUCAGCUAUUGCUGCAUUCUAUUUCUUCCUUUAUUGGACAUUUCUCUAAGCACCUGAAUUUGUAAUAGACAAGCAAUGAAUUUAUGUGCUAUUAAUGCCUAGAAUAAUCUAUUUAAAUACUUUUCCCAAAAACCUGUCCCAUCAAUGGUUAAAAAGAGGAAGUAUGCAGUUCCCUGGCAUUCCUAAAAUCCUUACUGAAAGCAUUGCUUUGCUGAAAUUGUUGUUUACUAUAAAAUCAGUGAACUCAUGUUUCUGUUGAAGCACAGCUAUUUAAAUUUAGGAAGACUGGUACAUGAUUUAUAUAGAUAUUCCACAGUUUGAUUCUCUUCCUGAAGAAACUGUCAGUAUUAAUAUCCUCAGGAUUUACAUAAACAGAUACAGGAGUUCUGACUCUUUUCCCUACAUGUGUAAUCUUGAUUAUAUUUUCUUUUAUUUCAAAUGUGUAUGUGAAAGUAAUGUUGAAGUAUUCAUUUUAUUUUUACAGAUAAUUGAAAAGCAAAACUGGAAUUCAGUUUUUGGUACAUUGGUAACUCGGAAUUAUGUAUGUUUACAAAUUUUAUGAAGAUUAGAACAUUUAAUUCAUUGCCAGUAGCUCACUGCUUUUCUUCUUCUUGAAACUGUUUCUUACAUGUUCUAUUACACACAUGAAAUAUAUUUUUCAGAUUGUGUGAUUCUUGCAAUAUGCUGCUUUCCAUGCCUUCCUCAUAUUUACAUUAAAAGUUUUCCCUGACUUGGGUGUAUCAGCCAUUUAUGACUAAGGUUGGGGGAGUUUUUUCACUUAGUUGAAAACUCAAGCAACCUGUUUCCCCUGGAAAACAUAUUUAGUGAAAUUACAGUCUUGUUUGCCAUAUGGUGCAUCAUACAGAUGGAUGAUUAUUAUGCAAAUCUUUUGAUUAGUGAGUUUCUGCCAUUCUAGGAAUCAUUUGCUUUAUGUGUGUUGGCUUUGUACACAAUUAGUUCCAUUCUUAGGAUUAUCUGGGACCGUGCCAAAUCUUUGAUACAGUUUUUUACAACUUGAUACUUUUUUCUUGUAUUUGUGGUUUGUUCUAUUUUCUUUGUUCAUCAGACAGAAGAAGUAACUUUUACUUCAAUUUACCAUAUGAGAGAUAUAAUGCAAGAAACAUCGUGCCAUGCUGAAUGAAAUCAGUAGCAAAAUUUGCAUCUUUCCCUCAUAGACUCUGCCUCCAUGGUUAUAAGCAUGUGAGACUGAUGAGGAGAGUAGUCAAAUAAAAUAUUUAAUUCUGUUUGCAGCAAGAAUCUAGUAUGAUGAUUCCUACUAGCUUUUCUCCAAUAAGCAAGUUUUGUAGUUGAGCUCUGGACAGUUUGAUAUAUAGUGCUAAGAGUCUGGGUUUUUUUCAUUCCUACAUGGUUCACAAAGAUUCUGGGUAUGAAUUGUACAUCUGUGACCAUGGAAUUGUAUGUGAAAAGAAAAUAAAGAAAAUGUUACUUUUUGUAGCUAGGCUGGCAGCUAACCCUACUGUUAAAUUUAGAUUUCUUAGUUAGAAGGAGCCAAGGUCUGUGAGGGGUAGAAUACAUUCAGUAUAUGUUUAAGUAAGGCCCUUACUAACUUAAACUACUCUGUGUUGCAAUUUGUUAAUGCUCACCAAAAAAUCAGGUUAUUUCCACUGUCUCAAGCAGGUAUAAUAUUAAUAAAAAUUAAAAAGCAUUCCUAUAUGAUAUCAUUUAUAAGCAUGGACAGGAGUAUCUGAUUUCUUAUUUCUUGUGAGAGGUAAAAAUUAGCCCUUAGUACAGCUGAGACCCAAGGAGGUAUGAGUGGUCAUCUGGGCUCUCCCAGAAUGGUAAACUGCUCAUCACAGGAUGUGUUCCAGGAGUGGAUUUUUGUAAAUUAGGCUGAUCCUUUAUUUUUGUCACAAAACUUUCUUACAAGUGAGUCUCCUAAACUGAAAUUUAGGUUUUUAAAUGUUUUAUUAUUUGCAAUAUACUGAUGUUGUGGGAAUAUCUCAAACAUAAACAAUAUAAAAUGAUACUGUUGUAACUUAAUGGUAUAAAAUGUAAAGUGAUAUUCCUUAACUAUAUAAUUCAAGGUUAUAGUGAAGGAGAUGGUUUCCAAGAGUAAAACAGUAUUUUAUGAUCAAA
rnacentral:lncRNA from 1 species